rnacentral:rRNA from 1 species
AACGAACGCUGGCAGCAUGCCUAACACAUGCAAGUCGAACGAGACCUUCGGGUCUAGUGGCGCACGGGUGCGUAACGCGUGGGAACCUGCCCUUAGGUUCGGAAUAACUCCCCGAAAGGGGUGCUAAUACCGGAUAAUGUCUUCGGACCAAAGAUUUAUCGCCUUUGGAUGGGCCCGCGUUGGAUUAGCUAGUUGGUAGGGUAAAAGCCUACCAAGGCGACGAUCCAUAGCUGGUCUGAGAGGAUGAUCAGCCACACUGGGACUGAGACACGGCCCAGACUCCGACGGGAGGCAGCAGUGGGGAAUAUUGGACAAUGGGCGAAAGCCUGAUCCAGCAAUGCCGCGUGAGUGAUGAAGGCCUUAGGGUUGUAAAGCUCUUUUACCCGGGAUGAUAAUGACAGUACCGGGAGAAUAAGCUCCGGCUAACUCCGUG